GAGGAUGCGAGCGUUAUCCGGAUUUAUUGGGUUUAAAGGGUGCGCAGGCGGGCUGUCAAGUCAGCGGUAAAAUAGCGGGGCCCAACCCCGUCGAGCCGUUGAAACUGGCAGCCUAGAGUGGGCGAGAAGUAUGCGGAAUGCGUGGUGUAGCGGUGAAAUGCAUAGAUAUCACGCAGAACUCCGAUUGCGAAGGCAGCAUACCGGCGCCCGACUGACGCUCAUGCACGAAAGCGUGGGGAUCGAAC
rnacentral:rRNA from 1 species